CAGUGCAAGUGUCCUUGUGCCCUGGUGCCUGAUAUCCAGCUCCGGCAGCCUAGAAAAUCAGUUAGGCUUUUCAGUCACAGCACCCUCUGUGACAAACGUGUGGAGCACCGCACGACUUCUUCAACCAGCUGGUUUUUCUGGCAUUCGAAUAAAAGUAAAAAUAGAAAACAAAGAGGGAGAAGAAAAGUGACAAGCUGAAACCUGCGAAGAGAAAGAGGACAAGAAAUGAACAAGUUGAUCUGGUCUUGAGGGAGGAGGAGGCACAGGAACACAGUAAAGGAACCUAUCUGAGGAGCUGCAGACAUGAACCAACAAAGCCAGAAGAGCCUGAAGCAAUACUGCAAGUGGGUGCUUUGGUACUGCUUUGAAGCAUCUUUCCAGACUCUGCAGUAGCCAAGGCCUGUGACUCCAGUCCCUGAGAAAGUACCAUCAGGAGCAAUACACAAAUUGCUUACCAAUAUGGAAAUCACCAUAAAGUAAUCAACUGCAACACAUUCUUUGACAUGAGAAGGGAAUUAGAAGAAAGGAUUGCUUCAAAGAGUUUGGUAGCACACUUUAUAUAAACCCCCCUUUUUUUAAUUAACAAAAUGGUUUGGAGUCAUUUUUCUACCACUAGGUAAUUAUGUGAGUGUGAUCUAUAAUCUUCCUCCUGAAAAUUGUUUAUGUCCUAAUUCCCAGGUCAAAUUGAUAGACACCUCUCAAACCACGUGAUAUGGUUUGGAUUUGUGUCCCUGACCUCUUAAGUCAAAUUGUAAUCCCCAAUGUUGGAGGAGGGACCUGGUGGGAGGUGAUUAUAUCAUGGGGGCGGAUUUCCCCCUUGCUAAUCUCAUGAUAGUGAUGAGCGAGUUCUCAUGAGAUCUUGUUGCUUAAAAGCGUGUAGCACCUCCCACUUCUAUCUCUUUCUCCUGCUCUACUUAUGUAAGAUGUGCCUGCUUUGCCUUUCGCCAUGAUUGUAAGUUUCCUGAGACCUCCCCAGCCAUUCUUCCUGUACAGCCUGCAUAACCAUGAGCCAAUUAAACCUCUUUUCUUUAUAAA
rnacentral:lncRNA from 1 species